UAGCUUAGAUUUACACAUUGAGGGCAUCUGAGAGAUGGCUCAGAGGUUAAGAGCACUGACUGCUCUUCCAGAGGUCCUGAGUUCAAUUCCCAGCAACCACAUGGUGGCUCACAACCACCUGUAAUGAGAUCUGGUGCCCUCUUCUGACCUGCAGUCAUAUAUGCUGUAUACAUAAUAAGUAAAUCUUUAAAAAAAAAAAAAAAAAAACUUUAAAAAAAUUUACACAUUGAAGAGCCUUGUCGUGUUCCCAGUUGGGGGUAGGGCUUUCGAAUAAUGUUGCUAUUUACAAUUGCCUAUGAGCUCUUAUGUGCGUACAAGCCUUAAUUUGUAUUGAGUAAAUUUCCAGGGAUUAAUGGAUCACAUGGCAAGUGGAUGUUUAUAAGAAACUGUCCAACUCCUUUUCCAAAAUGGCUAUCCCAUUCUGUACUUCCAAACCUAAGUAACGGGAGCAAAGCUCUGUCGCUCUGCAUCCUCACCAGCUUUGGUAUCGAUACACACGCUUUCCACCAAACACACAAUAUACGAAAUAAAGAUUUUAAACUGGGCGUUUAAACCUCAAGUGCUGGGAUUAUGGAUGAGUCAUCACGCAGGGCUGUGGGAGGAUAGUCAGGAACUGAGGACCAGGAAGGGUUAAAUGACCCAAUUCAUCACAAAAUCAGGAUUCGUUCACAGACACCGUCUAAGCUCCUUCUACCGCCCGAGUGCUUUAGGCUCAUUUUCACCCCCCGCCUGGCUGCUGGGACAGAAUACCUCAAACACAUCACGUUUUUACUUGCGUGGGUCGGCUUACUGCUAAGGGGUGCGCUAAUUACAGAUCCCGAACUGAGUUGUAGGGAAAAAAAAAUCCGGAAGCCGUGAGCCCGCAGCUUGCAAACUGCCGGUUUCUCCCAGCGCCAUGGUUGGCGUGUGACCUUUCUACACUCGGGAGGACUCGGAAAGCAAGACCAAUGAGCCGAUCGCUCCUGUGCGCAGGACAAUAAAACUGGGUUCCUAUUGGUCAGUAUCGCAAGAGCCCGCCCAACAACUUCCGGGAAGCCUUCUUUAAGUUAAGGUCUGGCGACCAUUUCUGCCUCUUAGCGACCGGCCGACGGCGAAGAUCUGCCCGGUGGAGGACAGCAGACAGCGUGGGCCUCCCCACCCUUCCCCCAAGCCUCUGAAUAAAGUGUGUGUUGACUCUAA